GUAGGGUGCAAGCGUUAAUCGGAAUUACUGGGCGUAAAGCGUGCGCAGGCGGUUAUGCAAGACAGAUGUGAAAUCCCCGGGCUCAACCUGGGAACUGCAUUUGUGACUGCAUAGCUAGAGUACGGUAGAGGGGGAUGGAAUUCCGCGUGUAGCAGUGAAAUGCGUAGAGAUGCGGAGGAACACCGAUGGCGAAGGCAGCCCCCUGGGCCAACACUGACGCUCAGGCACGAAAGCGUGGGGAGCAAACAGGAUUAGAUACCCUGGUAGUCCACGCCCUAAACGAUGUCAACUGGGUGUUGGGGAAGCGAUUCCUUGGUACCGUAGCUAACGCGUGAAGUUGACCGCCUGGGGAGUACGGCCGCAAGGUUA
rnacentral:rRNA from 1 species